rnacentral:rRNA from 1 species
CUGGGACUGAGACACGGCCCAGACUCCUACGGGAGGCAGCAGUGGGGAAUAUUGNACAAUGGGCGCAAGCCUGAUGCAGCCAUGCCGCGUGUGUGAAGAAGGCCUUCGGGUUGUAAAGCACUUUCAGUCAGGAGGAAAGGUUAGUAGUUAAUACCUGCUAGCUGUGACGUUACUGACAGAAGAAGCACCGGCUAACUCCGUGCCAGCAGCCGCGGUAAUACGGAGGGUGCGAGCGUUAAUCGGAAUUACUGGGCGUAAAGCGUACGCAGGCGGUUUGUUAAGCGAGAUGUGAAAGCCCCGGGCUCAACCUGGGAACUGCAUUUCGAACUGGCAAACUAGAGUGUGAUAGAGGGUGGUAGAAUUUCAGGUGUAGCGG